UACAGAGGGUGCGAGCGUUAAUCGGAAUUACUGGGCGUAAAGCGUGCGUAGACGGCUAUCUAAGUCGGGUGUGAAAGCCCCGGGCUCAACCUGGGAAUUGCAGUUGAAACUGGGAAGCUAGAGUAGGGUAGAGGGGUGUGGAAUUCCAGGUGUAGCGGUGAAAUGCGUAGAUAUCUGGAGGAACACCAAUAGCGAAGGCAGCUCGCUGGGACGUUACUGACGCUGAGGCGCGAAAGCGUGGGGAGCGAACAGG
rnacentral:rRNA from 1 species